AAUAAGUGCAGUCAUGAGUUUUUUUUUGUCCAACUUUAAUCGUUCGUUUUAUUUAAAAAAAUUAUGAUUGGUAUUUUUAUUAUUAGAUGGUUAUAAAACAUAAAUAAUACUUUAUAUGUGACUUAUGUUUUUUUAUUUUUUUUUAAAAAAUAAAUAAGACGGACGAUCAAAGUUGGACACAUAAAAGUCAUAGCUACGCUUAUU
rfam:Oryza rufipogon genomic scaffold, chr04